CCCCUCUCAGAGUUGCACCUGGAGAGUUUCCAGUACUCUACCAGUUUCAACUAGGGGAGGGAGAGUCCAGCAGAGUCAUACCCAUUCCGUUCCUAGCCUGGUCCGUGGCUAGCGAGUAGAAGGCCAUCUGCUACAAGU